rnacentral:rRNA from 1 species
UACAGAGGGUGCAAACGUUGCUCGGAAUCACUGGGCGUAAAGGGCGUGUAGGCGGGAGAGAAAGUCGGGCGUGAAAUCCCUAGGCUCAACCUAGGAACUGCACUCGAAACUUCUUUUCUUGAGUGCCGGAGAGGAAAGCGGAAUACCUGGUGUAGAGGUGAAAUUCGUAGAUAUCAGGUGGAACACCAGUGGCGAAGGCGGCUUUCUGGACGGUAACUGACGCUGAGACGCGAAAGCGUGGGGAGCAAACAGG